rnacentral:rRNA from 1 species
GACGAACGCUGGCGGCGUGCUUAACACAUGCAAGUCGAACGCUGAAGCUUGGUGCUUGCACUGGGUGGAUGAGUGGCGAACGGGUGAGUAAUACGUGAGUAACCUGCCCUUGACUCUGGGAUAAGCCUGGGAAACUGGGUCUAAUACUGGAUACGACAUGUCACCGCAUGGUGGUGUGUGGAAAGGGUUUUAAUGGUUUUGGAUGGGCUCACGGCCUAUCAGCUUGUUGGUGGGGUAAUGGCUCACCAAUGCGACGACGGGUAGCCGGCCUGAGAGGGUGACCGGCCACACUGGGACUAAGACACGGCCCAGACUCCUACGGGAGGCAGCAGUGGGGAAUAUUGCACAAUGGGCGGAAGCCUGAUGCAGCGACGCCGCGUGAGGGAUGACGGCCUUCGGGUUGUAAACCUCUUUCAGCACGGAAGAAGCGAAAGUGACGGUACGUGCAGAAGAAGCGCCGGCUAACUACGUG